rnacentral:miRNA from 1 species
UGGCCAAAAAGUUUGUUUGGGUUUUUCCAUGUUACAGAAAAGCCCAAAUGAACUUUUUGGCCAACUCAAUAUU